rnacentral:tRNA from 1 species
GGCUUAGUGGCGCAGUGGUUAACGCAUCGCACUUGUAAUGCGGAGAUCCCGAGUUCAACUCUCGGCUGAGCCU